rnacentral:lncRNA from 1 species
UAGGACAGUCACAUCAUUUUUACAGGGCUGACCCGUGUGAUAAAGCAAGGAAACGGUUCUUGGGUGACUUGCUCACCACUAUUUGUGUGCUUAGCUGACAAAUACUAUACACAGUCCUACGCGCUAUAUAUACUCACCUAGCUCACGCAUAAGGAUGUCAAAGGUCCAUUGCUAUAAGUUUAAAUAUGCCUUCUUCUAUACCAGUUUCAUCCCAUAGUAAACCCUAAGAUAAUGGAGGAAAACAAAACAUCAUGGUAAGCAUUUGCUAUUUUCGUGCUUGCGCCAGCAAAUAAGUCAAUCUAAAGUACGGUCAUUUCCGCAAGAAACUUGAAAACUAGUCAAUGAUGUGUGCAAUUAUCAUUAUUUUUAGGCUAAUAUUUUUUCUUGUUCCAAAUAGAUCCGCCCGACAUGGAAUACCUGCCAUCCGAAACACCGCAGGACCCAACUUUGAAGAAAAAUGUCACACGGACUCUAGGAUCACAUUUCAUCAUUUCAUCCGACAGCCAGAAACGUCGACGACUUGCAGGUGGCGUCUGUUUGGCCAGACGAUGCUAGUGGAACUAUCUUCUUUUGGUUAGUGAAAAUACACCCGCCGUCCAGUCAUCGAGCUGCUCGUUUGCUUCGUUGGGCACAUAACAACAGAAUUCAAAACAAGAUCAACAGUUUGACACGGGAUUCGACUUGAACCCAUUCUGUUUAUUGUAAUUAUGUAUAUCCCUGAAUGUAUCAGACUGAUUUGUAUCAACCUUACUGCUCCAGUUUCGAUUUGCACUCCAACUGAACUGAUUUGGCCGGUGGUUAGCCGUCACGUAAGAACCGUGUUUUCAGUCGGGGCGUACGUGCAAAUAAAUAAACGAAAAUGGUGUAUCAUAGAAAAGAAAUUAUAACUUUUAAGUUCAUUAUUAGUUAUCUAUACUAUAAUAAUACUGCAGAAAGCUUUCCUAGUUUGUAUACAAAGUCUUGCACCAUUCUUUUGAACAAAUGAGCGCCUGUAGCUCAGUGGAUAGAGCGUCCGUUUCCUAAGCGGAAGGCCGUAGGUUCGACCCCUACCUGGCGCGCUUUUUUAUUUAUUUUUUGCAUUUCCAACUUUAAAAAUUUAGACUCCUAUAUAUUUCUACCAAUCCACUGUCCUAUCUUUCUUACCGUUACUCGAUGCAAACCCUUUUUUUAACAGUGGCACACACAAUCCAUUCAUCACUGGAUGGAGGUCACUUUUCGGCACGCUCGUGCUUACAUGAACCGUUCCUCCAAUGGACUAGCUAACAGGAUCUUUGUAAGUGCUUGCAUUUUUUAAAAACAUGACCUCUUGUCAUGCAGAGUAAAGAGCCCAAACAAGCUCAAUUCUAGAUGUGACAACCAACCCCUGAAACAGCAGAGUGGAGGCGAAAGGAUGGUGGGAAUCCUCGGAAUUGAUGUCCGUGUCCGUCGAACCCAAGCCCCUCCUGCGGCCUCGUCCUCCUUCAACCAAGAACCCUCACAGCUGUAACGACGAUGGCGAGCACUAACGAAACUGUUGCCAUCGCACCCCCCNNNNNNNNNNNNNNNNCCCGCCCCCCCCCCCCCCCCCCGAAAGAGCGCGGGGUGACCAAGUGGGCCCCUUGACGAUGGUGCUCAAUGUGAAGAAGUUGUCGGUCGGCACGGGGGUGCCAUCUCGUGGCUCCGCGGAUGGUGGAUGGUUGGAAUGUUGAAAGUCGAUCGGGUAUUGUUAACAACUAGAGGAUCCUAUGUGUGGUGGUGCGGGAAAUGGUUGAUGGAAAUUUGAGAUGAUAACAAAGAGAACUAAAUAAUAAUAUUCACAUUUAAAAAAAAUGUUCACUCUCUUUCAUUUUUUUGUUCAAAUCCCUGAAACAGCAGAGUGGAGCUGAAGUGGUCUUCAUUUUCUUUUGUUCAUGUUUCAAAAAACAUUUUGAUUUUCAAAAAAUAAGGUUUGCUCUCUUUUAAUUUCACGUCACAAUUUUUUGAAUUGUGAACCACAGUAAUUGAUACAAUAUUUUCCACAACUAGAGUAAAAAUAAUAUUUCUUUAAAUUCAAAAAACACAAUUUUCAAAAAAAGUUUGUAAUUUAAAAUAAUAAUCAGUAUUUCAAUUUUGUUUUCAGGUUUUCAGAAAUUGCGUGAAAUUUCAAGAAGUGUUCAUAAUUUUCAUCAAGGAGCUACAGUAGCAACUGCAUAAAUUUUACUUAGCUACAGUGCCUGCACCCUACGCUGAAAGGCUCCAAACAAGUUGGCCCAAGCUUCCCAUCUUUGGGUUCGAAAUACACGCUUGUUUCUCCAUUUUGAUUUUUUUAAACGGGUAUUUGGAACCUUCUUAUAUUUUGGGGUAAAAUCAACAUCAUAAAAUUAAGAAGUGCAUACGCAUUGUUUGGUUAAAUGGAGCGGUCGGUCUCUCACAUGCAUGCAUAUGUUAAAAUUUUUUUAAAACAAGUACGAUAAGGUACAGUCAGCAGGCUGUAAGGAUUAAAAUACUAUAUUUUUUCUGAGCUGGAUGAGAGAGAAGGGAAGCGGGCUCUUCGUGAAGAGCCAGCUCUAGCACGUGCUCCUAGGUGAUUUGUGAGAAUGAAAGGUGGAUCAUAUAUGAUAAAAGUAGUACUCUUUUAUAGCUAACUAUUGUACAAGCUAGCUAUAAGAUGAGCUAUAAGACUGCUUAUAGCCAGCAGUUGGCUAUACUAUUAACCAUGCUCUUAUCUCCUAACGCAUGUGGAUAUUAGAAUUAAAUGCGUUCACAUUGAUUACUUCAUUUAGGAAAAAACAAAUUCACGUACAUUUAUUGUUGUCUGCCUCUAUGUCCCUUCACUAGUAGGAAAGGGGUCAUUAGUCCCGGUUCUGAAGGGUCUGUAGUCCCGGUUCUUCAACCGGGACUAAAGUUCCAAAUUUUAGUUCCGGUUAUGUUAUGAACCGGGACAAAGGUGCUCCAUGUGGCCGCUGUGGAGCUCGAGGGCAGGAGAACCUUUAGUCCCUGUUUGUAGCACCGACCGGGACUAAAAGGCGGCAACGCGUUAGCAACAUCCAAGCGUUAGUUUUUUGAAAAAAGGGGUUUAGGGGUUUCAUAUUGUGUUUACCCCUUUUCUUUUCGUGUCCAUCAUCUUUGGUUCCUUAUGCCUGUUGGUGUUCUCGGCCGAUGCCACUAUUGAGCUUCAUUCAACUCGACGCUAUCUAGUACGUUCAUAUAGCAAUGAAGGAACUGUUACACGACAUCGUCAUGAAUAUAGAGAUAAGUGACCUCUCUUUCUCCGUGCUUGAUCCAACAACAAGUUUUCGUACAUCCAUUUGAUGCUACUACAUAUAGUACACGUUCGUGCAUAUAUACAAUUAUCUCUUGCGAUCCCUAACUAGGGGUAGUUACCUCACAUGUCCCAUAUACAACCAUGUGGUAGCAUACAUACUACUUUAUCAUUGUAAGUAUGUUGAUAUACUAUAUAUAAGAUACUUCAAACUGAGUUUUGUAAAAAAACUGCAAGUUGACUCAUGAUUUUUUAUUAUAUUUGUGAAAUACAUACAAAUAUAGUUGUAUUUCACAAACAAAUAUAUAUAUUUCAAUCAAAAUAAUAAUCAAGCAUGAUAAUGAUAUUGAAACUAUAAUGAAUGAGAGACGCGCGGAACUAGCUAGUACUACUUACUUUGGAGUUGAUCAAGGACUGACAAUGAAGAUUGCCUUUUUUCACGAAAUGGCAAUGAAAAUUGUUGGCAAUGGAUAUUGUUGGCAAUGAUGAGGGACUUAUAACGCACAUAAGGAAUCAAUAUCUAGUGGAUUAGUUGAAAUCUUAGAAAUUCUCACCAUUCUUCAUGCGAAUGACAUUUCAACUAAUCAGCUCAUGAAGUUUUCACACCAUUCUUAUAUCUUCUUUUAUUUUGCAAGAGGAAACGAAAAAUGGGUAGUAGGACAGUCACAUCAAUUUUACAGGGCUGACGAGUGUGACAAAAAGGAAAUGGUUCUUGGGUGACUUGCUCAACACUAUUUGUGUGCUUAGCUGACAAAUACUAUACACAGUCAUGCAGGCUAUAUAUACUCACCUACCUCACGUAUAAGGAUGUCAAAGGUCCAUUGCUAUAAGUUUAAAAUUGUCUUCUUCUAUAGUAGUUUCACCCCCACAGUAAACGCUAAGAUAUUGGAGUAAAACAAAACAUCAUGGUAAGCAUUUGCUAUUUUCAUGCUUGCACCAACAAAUAAGUCAAUUGAAAAUGCAAUCAUUUUCGCAAGAAACUUGAAAACUAGUAAAUCAUGUGUACAAUUAUCAUUAUUUUUAGGUUAAUAUUUUUUUCUUGUUUCGAAUAGAUCCGCCGGACGCGGAAUACCCGCCGGCCGAAACACGGUACGAUCCAACGUUGGAGAAAAAUGUCACACAAACUAUAAGAUCACAUUUCAUCAUUUCAUCCGAGAGCCAGAAACG